rnacentral:rRNA from 1 species
UACGUAGGGGGCGAGCGUUGUCCGGAUUUAUUGGGCGUAAAGAGCUCGUAGGCGGUUUGGUAAGUCGGGUGUGAAAUCUCCACGCUCAACGUGGAGGGGCCACUCGAUACUGCCAUGACUCGAGUCCGGUAGAGGAGUGUGGAAUUCCCGGUGUAGCGGUGAAAUGCGUAGAUAUCGGAAGGAACACCAGUGGCGAAAGCGGCUUCCUGGUCCAGCACCGACGUUCAGGCACGAAAGCGUGGGGAGCAAACAGG